rnacentral:rRNA from 1 species
GACGAGGGCGCGAGCGUUGUCCGGAUUUAUUGGGCGUAAAGAGCUCGUAGGCGGCUUGUCGCGUCGGCUGUGAAAUCCCGUGGCUCAACUGUGGGCGGGCAGCUGAUACGGGCAGGCUGGAGUUCGGUAGGGGAGACUGGAAUUCCUGGUGUAGCGGUGAAAUGCGCGGAUAUCAGGAGGAACACCGGUGGCGAAGGCGGGUCUCUGGGCAAUAACUGACGCUGGAGGAGCGAAAGCGUGGGGAGCGAACAGG